CCCGCUGAACUUAAGCAUAUCAAUAAGCGGAGGAAAAGAAACUAACAAGGAUUCCCCUAGUAACUGCGAGUGAAGCGGGAAAAGCUCAAAUUUAAAAUCUGGCAGUCUUGCUGUCCGAGUUGUAAUCUGGAGAAGCAUUUUCUGUGUCGGACCGUGUACAAGUCUCUUGGAAUAGAGCGUCAUAGAGGGUGAGAAUCCCGUCCAUGACACGGACUCCCGAUGCUUUGUGAUAUGCUCUCGAAGAGUCGAGUUGUUUGGGAAUGCAGCUCAAAAUGGGUGGUAAAUUCCAUCUAAAGCUAAAUAUUGGCGAGAGACCGAUAGCGAACAAGUACCGUGAGGGAAAGAUGAAAAGCACUUUGGAAAGAGAGUUAAACAGUACGUGAAAUUGUUGAAAGGGAAACGCUUGAAGUCAGUCGCGUUGUCUGAGACUCAGCCUUGCUUUUGCUCGGUGUACUUCUUAGUUAACGGGUCAACAUCAAUUUUGGUUGGUGGAUAAAGGUAUUGGGAAUGUGGCACCUUCACGGGUGUGUUAUAGCCCUUUGCUGCAUACACUGACUGGGAUUGAGGACUGCAGCACGCCGUCUUGGCCGGGGGUUCGCCCUACGUAACGUGCUUAGGAUGUUGGCGUAAUGGCUUUAAACGACCCGUCUUGAAACACGG
rnacentral:rRNA from 1 species